rnacentral:lncRNA from 1 species
GGCCCUAAUUUCUGUUUGCUUGCUAUGACUGGAUUGUCACAUGAUAUAUGUGACCCGUUUACGUGGCAUUCUUUUGCUAAUCUGAAAAAAAAAAUUCUAGAAGUCCUCUCUCCUUUCUCAUAUCUUCUUCCAUCUAAGAUUUCUAUAAAUGGAAAGAUAAAAAAAUCCUCUCUCGAGAUCUCUAUCCUUCUUCUUUCUACUUCGUUGGAAUAGAAAGAAGAGAUUUCAUUUUUAUAUUAGUAGAAAUCAAAGCUAAUGCAACUCUAUUUCCUCCAAUCCUUUUUCACCUCAACUUCAACAUUCCACUCACCCCUCAUCAAUGGUUUGGGUCAUUUUUUGCUCAAAAUCACUACCAAUAUUUGAUGUUAAAGUAAUCGUUACAUCAUUUUUCAGAUUAAUUAAGGAAUCCAUGAUG